UUGCUUUCCUUUACCAAAGAGUCUCUCUAGCGGUAAGCAAAAUGGCUCAACCGGCAAGUCUCAUGCUGGCUUUUGGUCUUAUGUAUGCUGCGAUAUUUCACAUCUCAGGCAUUCCUGUAUUUUCCAAUAUCAGGGAAAAUACAGUGGUCUGCACAUAUACCGAUGUAAUGGAGUUGGAAAACAUUGUCUAUAACAGUUCUCUCCUGGAUCCCUCUUCAGGCUACUAUAAGCAAGUAGCAUCUGAGGUUAUGGAUGUGAUCAAUCAAGUAUAUGCCUGCCCUGACUGUCCUACCAAAUCCUUUUUUGAAGCUAAAAAUCCCACAUUCUCACAGCUAACCUUCCCCGGAGAGAAGCCAUCCACAUGGGUACAUGUUCCUAUGAACUUCUACAAUGAAGAGAUCGAUGACGAUGUAGUCCUGUACCUCUUCGGUAACGCCAAUCCUGUAACAACCCUUAAUAUCCUCAACUUUCAAGUGGAUGGGGAUCUAGAUCCAAAAUGUCAGUCAGUGGAUGAUGAAGAGUAAUAAACAUUCUGAGUUAAA